GACGAACGCUGGCGGCGUGCCUAAUACAUGCAAGUCGAACGCUUCUUUCCCCCCGAGUGCUUGCACUCAAUUGGAAAGAGGAGUGGCGGACGGGUGAGUAACACGUGGGUAACCUACCCAUCAGAGGGGGAUAACACUUGGAAACAGGUGCUAAUACCGCAUAACAGUUUAUGCCGCAUGGCAUAAGAGUGAAAGGCGCUUUCGGGUGUCGUUGAUGGAUGGACCCGCGGUGCAUUAGCUAGUUGGUGAGGUAACGGCUCACCAAGGCCACGAUGCAUAGCCGAACUGAGAGGGUGAUCGGCCACACUGGGACUGAGACACGGCCCAGACUCCUACGGGAGGCAGCAGUAGGGAAUCUUCGGCAAUGGACGAAAGUCUGACCGAGCAACGCCGCGUGAGUGAAGAAGGUGUUCGGAUCGUAAAACUCUGUUGUUAGAGAAGAACAAGGACGUUAGUAACUGAACGUCGCCUGACGGUAUCUAACCAGAAAGCCACGGCUAACUACGUG
rnacentral:rRNA from 1 species